rnacentral:lncRNA from 1 species
AUGGAACCACCAGUGUGCACAGCUGAGCUGUAUUUUCUGGCCCUACCACCUCUAUGCCGGCCUGGGAGGGAAGUGAAGUCUGCUGCUGCUGCUGCUGCUAAGUCGAUUCAGUCGUGUCUGACUCUAUGCGACCUCAUAGACGGCAGCCCACCAGGUUCCCCCGUCCCUGGGAUUCUCCAGGCAAGAAUAAGAGCUUCAUUAUUACCAAUAAUCCCUGAGAACUACAAAAAUCCUGCUAUACUGCCACUAAGUUUUGCUGCAUGGCCAUUAAUUAACAGCCUUUUUAGGAAGGAACACCAAGUGUGUAAUGAAUCUUUGCAAGUACAACUUCCACAUAUUGCGGUCCUCUGAGUUCACGUCAGUGGAGUCCCUUUCUGGUGGAUGAUUCUAUGUCUGAACAGCCCCUCAUGUGAUGGGAGAGAAAAGGAACGGGAAGAGAUGGAAAUGAACAGAGAAGAGGUCUGCUGAGCUGGAAACCUGUAGACUUUUCUAAGUGACAAAGGGUGAGUGUGGCUUUAUGAAAGAGGAAACUUGGUACAUUAAUGCCAGCCUUGGGAAAAGCAACAGCCCCAGAUAAGAAGUGUGUAUGGGGCUUGGAAGCCGGGCAGCUCUGAUUUCUAGCUCGAGGGCCUUCCAGUUGUGUCUCUAAGCCUCGGUUUCCUUCUUCACCUGUAGAGUGGACUUAAUAAUUUUGAUCACCUGACAGUUGAUGUGGGAACGAAAGAAGCCCACACAGGAUAAGCAAUAUACAGAGAUUAAUGCAAGGUACCUGUCAUCAUGCUUACGAAGUUCAUGAUGCUUUGAAAGGUGUAAUUCAUUGCAGAGAUGCCGACUGGGGAGAGAGGGCCUGCCUUGCACCGGGCCUGUCCUCC